GCCCAUGUGACAUAGUGGUUUGAGUACUGGACUACAACUCUGGAGACCAGGGUUCAAUUCCUGGUUCGGCG